CUGUAAACUCUUCAAGUGGAUCUCACACUUGUCUACAUAUGACUCUUGCUUUUGAUCUUCAAACUUCUUUGCAUAGUCUUUUUCAUCUCAAUGAAUAGUAUUAUCAUCUUUGUUUAUGCCCGAAACACUGAGUCUUUCUUUAAUUUUCCAUAUCAGCAGUUGUGCUUCCUCUGAAAUUCUAUUUUCUUUUUGAGAUGGGGUCUCACUCAGUCACGCAGGCUGACGUGUAGUGGGCUCACUCUCAUCUCACACAACCUCCUCCCACCUCAGCCUCCCAAGUAGCUGGGACUACAGGUGUGCACCACCACACCUGGCUAAUUUUUGUAUUUGGGUAGAGAUGGGGUUUCACCAUGUUGGCCAGGCUGGUCUUGAACUCCUGGGGUCAAGUGAUCCACCCACCUCAGCCCCCUGAAGUGCUGGGAUUCCAGGCAUCAGUCACCGCAGCCAGCCUGCUUCAUCUGAAAUUCUGAUAUCUGAGAAUUAGAUGAGGCUUUUUCCCCCCUAGAAAAGAGUAGUUUUUGGGGUUUUUUUGUUUUGUUUUGUUUUGUUUUGUUUUGUUUUUGAGCCUGUGUCUCACUCUGUCUCCUAGGCUGGAGUGCAGUGAUAGUUAUGGGUCACUGCAACCUCAACCUCUCAGGCUCUAGUGAUCCACCCCCUCUGCCUCACAAGUAGCUGGGACUUCACGUGUGCACCACCACACAUGGCUAAUUUUAGAAAAAAAAAAUUUGAAGAGACAGUUUCUCCAUAUGUUGCCCAGGCUAGUCUCAAACUCCUGGGCUCAAGCAGUCCUCCCACCUCAGCCUCCCAAAGUGCUGGGAUUGUUGUUGUGAGCUGCCACCAGGCCCAGCCUCGUUUUAUAUUUGAGACCAUGCCAGAUCUUUUCAUCUCGCAGAGUACUUCCUGAGAAUAUUACCCCACAAUUGCUAGUAAAUAAUAUCAUCAAAAAGUCAAGUAAAUAAACCUUUAAAAUAUGCAAUAAAUGGUCUUGUAGAAAUCACAAACAAUUGUACUUAUUGGAUGAAAAUAUCUGUUCUACUAUUAUAAAAAAAUUAUUGUGGUUAGGAGUAAUUUCCAGUGAUAGCAUUACAUAUACAUAAAAUAUAUACUUUACAGAUCCAAUUAAAGGAGGAUGAAUGUGAAGAAGUUGAAUAAAAGUGUUGAUACUGAGCUCUGGAGAACUCUUGGAUAAUUCCAAGAGGAAGUUUUACUGAUGAUGGUGAAGUUAUUGAUAUCAGUGAUUUAAGUAAUGAUCCCGAAUAAGAAUAUUUUAUAAAUGCAAUAAUAGUACAAAAAAAUGUUUCUUAUCUUUCAGGUGUAAAGUUGAUAUUGUACAUUUAUUCUGCAUUAUAUCCCUUACUUUUUCUAUUAUACCAUUCAACAAUAUAUACUAAUGUUGCAUUUUUAUGUUUUUAUUAUUCACAUUCUUAACUAUAUUACCUCACUUCUUCUCUGAUCUUCUGAUACUAAGUUCUGGACACAUAGUAGAUAAUCAUAGAUUAUUGUCAAAAAAGUAAACUAAUCACUUCAGUAUUUGAUUGGAAAUUGCUCCAGGCUCUUUCAUCUCAUGAUCACUGUUCUUUGAGUAUAUUUAAUAUUUCCUUAUUUAAAAGUUCAUGUAUUUAGCCAGGCGUGGUGGCUCACGCCUGUAAUCCCAGCACUUUGGGAGGCCGAGGCAGGUGGAUCAUGAGGUCAGGAGAUCAAGACCAUCCUGGCUAACGUGGUGAAACCCCAUCUCUACUAAAAAUACAAAAAUUAGCCAAGUGUGAUGGCG
rnacentral:lncRNA from 1 species